rnacentral:rRNA from 1 species
CAGCAGCCGCGGUAAUACGUAGGUGGCAAGCGUUGUCCGGAAUUAUUGGGCGUAAAGCGCGCGCAGGCGGAUAGGUCAGUCUGUCUUAAAAGUUCGGGGCUUAACCCCGUGAUGAGAUGGAAACUGCCAAUCUAGAGUAUCGGAGAGGAAAGUGGAAUUCCUAGUGUAGCGGUGAAAUGCGUAGAUAUUAGGAAGAACACCAGUGGCGAAGGCGACUUUCUGGACGAAAACUGACGCUGAGGCGCGAAAGCCAGGGGAGCGAACGGGAUUAGAUACCCCCGUAGUCCCUGUCUCUUAUACA